rnacentral:lncRNA from 1 species
GAGUCUUUCAAGCCGCAGACAUGGACCGGUUGUUUUGGCUUUCUCUCCUGCUCGCCCACCCGUUGGUCACAGCUGACAAGGAUACAUGUCAUGUCUAUAUAUCACAGUCAAACAACAUAAUCUGGAAGAAAAUAGGGGAAGAAGCUGUUUUCAAUUGUACAGUCAUUUCCAGCUGUUCAGUAAAAUUUUACUGGUUCAAAGAAAACAUCUCUCUACCGCUUAAUAUGAGUAACAAGUACCCAGGAGGAGCGUCUUUACAAAUUAAUUCACUUAAAGCGAGUGACAGUGGGAUCUACUUCUGUGCCGCAGCAAAUCAUACUGGGUGCUGCACACCGUUUGUAGGGGAGGGAGCAACUCUUGUAGUGAGAGAAAAUGCUAAAAUAGUGAUGGGAAGAAUUUUGUCGGUAUCAUUUGUCCUCUUGGCCGUCUACAGCUUGGCUAUAGUGACGCUCAUCUUUCUAAAGAAGCAUGGCUGGAAUAUGAACGUCUGCAAAAAGACAUCCAAAAACGACAAGAAAAACGCAAAUAAAAAAGUACAGUUCCAGGACGUGCUGAAAGAAAUGCACAAGAAGAGAAACAUGGAGAAAAACAAUCAAACAGCAAGCAGAAGCUCUUCUGAAGCUGAGGCCUCGAGCAACGACCUGCAGCAUUCUUCUGAUGACAUCUAUCAAAAUGUCUAAGCUUCAUUCAAGGAAUUGAUGAAUUCAGACCUCCAUCAUCUUGACGGAAAGGAAAUUGUAAAGCCAUUAAACACCGGCUGGAUUAUGCUGUUCCGAGUCUGAGGAAACAAGCAAGUGUGCAAAGGAUGCAAGUCAUUUGUGCUUGUUGCUUAUCUUUUCUCAUGAAAUGAGACAUGAAAACUACAACACCAGCGUGGACCAGGCGACCCUUUCCUCUCUAAACGUUAAGGCUCUUACGCAGCCCGCCUCUCACAAAGCAUUCGAAGUUCUGUUGGUCUCCACCGCGCUUCCACAGCUUCCUUCUUGCUCAUAACAACUUUUUCCAAGGAUUUUAUUUUCAGGACUUUCUGCAACACAAAAGGGGGAUAAUUAGAUGAUCCACAUUAGAGGAAUUACAUCUGAAUUUCACUUCUACAAAAAACAAAAUGUUACACCUUUUAUUGCACGAAUCAUUAAUCACGAUGAUUACUGACAGUGAACUGACAUGAAAUGAUAAAGCCAUUUCUCAUUAAAGGAGUCAUGGCACUUUUUUGAUAGCGCUUAAUGUUUGUUACAUUAUUGACCAAGAAUUUCUUAAAAAUAUUCUUAAAAUCGAAUCAAAAACAUAAACGUACCACG